CUUUUGACGUCUUGUGUGUCUUUCAAUCUCAAUGUCUGCAAAGGAUCGAAGAAAGAAAACCCGUCCAGCCACUAUAGCUCUUGCCAACUACGAAGUGGAUUCCAAUUUGGGCGACGAUAACGGUAAAGUGUAAAGAAAUGGAACACGAUCCUGGCAUUAGAGGAUUGUUUCCCCAGGGCAACCAAACUCGAACUGUUUUCAGAUCCAAGUCUUGGAAAUUGAGGAGCGCGAACUGCGACGAAAUCGCUUACGUACUGUACUGUUACAGUCGGAGAUCCAGUAAUGGCUUAUUGGAGCCCCAUGAAGAAGUUUUAUGACGCAAGAGUCGUCGAAGUUCCUCGCCUGUGCAGUUCAGGGGCAGUCAAGAGGCAACUUGAAUUAGAUACCAAGGUCAUACAUUUUUGUUUUUAGAUAGCUGCAGGUAGUAUCA